rnacentral:rRNA from 1 species
UACGUAGGGUGCAAGCGUUGUCCGGAAUUAUUGGGCGUAAAGAGCUCGUAGGCGGUUUGUCGCGUCGAAUGUGAAAACCCGGGGCUCAACCCCGGGCCUGCAUUGGGUACGGGCAGACUAGAGUGCGGUAGGGGAGACUGGAAUUCCUGGUGUAGCGGUGAAAUGCGCAGAUAUCAGGAGGAACACCGGUGGCGAAGGCGGGUCUCUGGGCCGUAACUGACGCUGAGGAGCGAAAGCGUGGGGAGCGAACAGG